CCCAAAAAUCCCCUCCCCCCUCCCCAAUUUGGGGCUCCUCCCCCCCAGUUUGGUACUGGGAAGGGACUGGGAGGACCCCCCCCACUCAAAAAAUUUGGGGGGGGGGCAGCCAGAAUGCCCAAAUUUUAAAAAAAUGGGAAUUUUAGGGGGUUUUUCCCCAAUUUUGGGAUUUUUUUCCCCAAUUUUGGGGUUUUUUUCCCCAAUUUAAGGGGAUUUUUUCCCCAAUUUUGGGGUUGUUUUACCCAAUUUUGGGGGGUUCCCCAAUUUUAGGGUUUUUUCCCCAAUUUUGGGGGGGUUUUCCCCAAUUUUGGGGUUUUUUCCCCAAUUUUAGGGGAUUUUUUCCCCACUUUUCGGGGGGUUUUCCCCAAUUUUGGGCGUUUUUUACCCCAAUUUUGGGUUUUUUCCCCAAUUUUGGGGGUCUUUUCCCCAAUUUUGGGGUUUUUUUUCCUCAAUUUUGGGGUUUUUUUCCUCAAUUUUGGAGUUUUUUUCCCCAAUUUUGGGGGUUUUUUUCCCCAAUUUUGGGGGGGUUUUCCCAAUUUAGGGGUUUUUUCCCCAAUUUUGGGGUUUUUUUCCCCAAUUUUAGGGGAUUUUUUCCCCAUUUUUGGGGGGGUUUUCCCCAAUUUUAGGGGAUUUUUUCCCCAAUUUUGGGGUUUUUUUUCCCCAAUUUUGGGGGAUUUCCCCAAUUGUAGGGGUUUUUUUCCCAAAUUUUGGGGGUUUUUUACCCAAUUUUGGGAGGUUUUUACCCAAUUUUGGGGGUUUUUUCCUCAAUUUUGGGGAUUUUUCCCCAAUUUUUGGGGUUUUUCCUCAAUUUUGGGGUGUUUUUCCUCAAUUUUGGGGUGUUUUUCCUCAAUUUUGGGGAUUUUUCCCCAAUUUUGGGGUUUUUUUCCCCAAUUUUGGGAGGUUUUUCCCCAAUUUUGGGGUUUUUUCCUCAAUUUUGGGGUGUUUUUCCUCCAUUUUGGGGUUUUUUCCCCAAUUUUGGGGUUUUUUUCCCCAAUUUUGGGGAUUUUUUCCCCAAUUUUGGGGUUUUUUUGCUCAAUUUUGGGGAUUUUUCCUCAAUUUUGGGGUUUUUUUCCCCAAUUUUGGGGGAUUUUUCCUCAAUUUUGGGGAUUUUUCCUCAAUUUUGGGGUCACAACUUUCUCACCCCCCCAAAAAUGUGAAUUUUGGGGUUUUUUCCCCCCAAUUUUUGGGGGUGUCACCACUUCCCCUCCCCCCAAAAAUGGGAAUUUAGGAUUUUUUCCCCAAUUUUUGUGGGGGGGGGGUCACCACUCAC
rnacentral:lncRNA from 1 species